rnacentral:rRNA from 1 species
AUACGGAGGGUGCAAGCGUUAAUCGGAAUUACUGGGCGUAAAGCGUACGUAGGCGGUUAUUUAAGUCAGAUGUGAAAGCCCCGGGCUUAACUUGGGAACUGCAUUUGAAACUGGGUAACUAGAGUUUAGUAGAGGGGGGUGGAAUUUCAGGUGUAGCGGUGAAAUGCGUAGAGAUCUGAAGGAACACCAGUGGCGAAGGCGACUCCCUGGACUAAAACUGACGCUGAGGUACGAAAGCGUGGGUAGCAAACAGGAUUAGAAACCCCAGUAGUCC